UACGGGGGGGGCAAGCGUUGUUCGGAAUUACUGGGCGUAAAGGGCGCGUAGGCGGCCAUCUAAGUCAGACGUGAAAUCCCUCGGCUUAACCGGGGAACUGCGUCUGAUACUGGAUGGCUUGAGUUUGGGAGAGGGACGCGGAAUUCCAGGUGCAGCGGUGAAAUGCGUAGAUAUCUGGAGGAACACCGGUGGCGAAGGCGGCGUCCUGGACCAAUACUGACACUGAGUGAGCGAAAGCCAGGGGAGCAAACGGG
rnacentral:rRNA from 1 species